UCAUGAAUCUCGAUUGUACAAUUCAAUCUCUGCCAAAACUGCCAAAAUCCACAGCUGUAAAAGAGAUGUAGAGAAGCUUCAUAAUAUCUCAUUCCUAUUUGAAGGCCCCACUCAUUUUCUAUCACCUGCCCAUACCUCUUACUUCCGUAUCUUCUCCAAUAAACAGAGAAGAGAUUCAACAGCUAUUAGAGUUGUUUUCCCCAUCUCAAACCCAGUUCCUUUACCUUCUCUUUCUCCAAUGGCAAACCAACCCAAAAGCUCCCUGAUCACCACCGAUUCCAGUUGAAGCAAAUCCCUGACCAUAAACAGGCCUGUAGGCGCAGCUUACCAGAGAAAAAGAAGCAGCGACUACUUCCAUUUUUCCCUCCUGCCUUCAUUUGUUCGACUAUCAAACAACUUCCACACAUCUUUUCCUUGCUCCUCCAUCGAUCUCAGGUCGACUCCAAGAUUCCCGUUCCAAAUCCCGCUUAGAACAGGAGCUUCCCGACACUUCCGACUCUCAAAACCAACGAAAUUAAGGCAAGAAAUUCACGCGAGGAGUAUGGAAUCAUCGUCUUAUAUUUUUGUUCUAAAUUAUGUUUUAUGUCCUCUUUUUGAAUCGUUGAAGAUUUGUCAUGAAACAUGUAACAAAGUAAGAUAUAAUUAUGUCGUAUGUGAUGUAAAACUUUAAGUGGUUGUUUAAUGUUUGAUAUAUGCUAUGUUUGUGA